GGAUGUGAGGGCGAUCUGGCUGCGACAUCUGUCACCCCAUUGAUCGCCAGGGUUGAUUCAGCUGAUCUGGGUGGCUAGGCGGGUGUCCCCUUCCUCCCUCACCGUCCCUCCUGAAGCUGCGCACUCAGUCGAAGCGGACGACCUUCCCCAAUAGAGGCGUACUGUUCAUCGGUCAAGGGUGUGCGGUAGCUGCGCUCCCCUGCUAGAACCUCCAAACAAGCUCAAGGUCCAUUUGUAGGAGAACGUAGGGUAGUCAAGCUUCCAAGACUGCAGACACAUCCAAGUGAGGGACUGCAUGGGGCAGUCUGCCAUUGUUU
rfam:Anas platyrhynchos breed Pekin duck contig36317, whole genome shotgun sequence.